CGCACAUUAUUAAAUUCAUGAAUGAUUUGGUUUUUGCUUCUGAAGAGAUAGUUUCUUGAUUUGGUUUUUUUUUUUUAUCAAUCUUUUGAAAUUUGAAUUCAAUUUCAUUCCAAUUCAUAAUCGAUUCAUUCCGGCCAAUUUGUUUGCAACACUUUUUCGUUCUUCCGUCAUUAAUCACAACGCAACCCCAUAAACCUCACAACACAACAGGUUCGUGUAACUCGCUCCGUAACUCGUUCUCUCCGUUUUCCAUUUUUUCAUCAUGCCGAAGGCUAAAGUUGAUUCCAAACCCGCUGAUAACAGUGCAAGGGUGCAGAAACGAGAAGGAAACAGAUGAACAAAGCCGCUAAGGAUCCUAACAAGCCGAAGAAGCCUCCGAGUGUUUUCUUCGUUUUCAUUGUUGUCGCAUCAUCACCACCGUGUGUGCACUUAUGGCCUAUUCGAUCAUGAAGGAUGGGAAGGCACCUGAAAACUUAGCUGCCAUUGAUAUACCACAUGAGGAACCUACUUAUUCUGCUAGUGACAAUCAUAAAAGGUUUAUGGAAGUCAAUAACUCGCUCACUCGACUCGCUCACUCGACUCGCUCCGUAACUUGUUCUCUUCGUUUUCCAUUUUUUCAUCAUGCCGAAGGCUAAAGUUGAUUCCAAACCCGCUGAUAACAGUGUAAGGGUGCAGAAACGAGAAGGAAACAGAUGAACAAAGCCGCUAAGGAUCCUAACAAGCCGAAGAAGCCUCCAAGUGUUUUCUUCAUUUUCAUUGUUGUCGCAUCAUCACCACCGUGUGUGCACUUAUGGCCUAUUCGAUCAUGAAGGAUGGGAAGGCACCUGAAAACUUAGCUGCCAUUGAUAUACCACAUGAGGAACCUACUUAUUCUGCCAGUGACAAUCAUAAAAGGUUUAUGGAAGUCAAUAACUCGCUCACUCGACUCGCUCCGUAACUCGUUCUCUUUGUUUUCCAUUUUUUCAUCAUGCCGAAGGCUAAGGUUGAUUCCAAACCCGCUGAUAACAGUGUAAGGGUGCAGAAACGAGAAGGAAACAGAUGAACAAAGCCGCUAAGGAUCCUAACAAGCCGAAGAAGCCUCCAAGUGUUUUCUUCGUUUUCAUGUCAUGAUUCUGAAAUCAGGCUUACCGAAUCCGCAGAUUGCUUUGAAUGCAUUUUCUAGAUCAUUGUCACAGAGAAGUAAGGCAAAAAAGAUACAGGUCAUUGGAAAGGCUUGCGUGCCAAUUAUUAAAUUCGUUGAAAAGAAGAGUUGCUGUUCCUUUGAUAUAAGUUUUGACAUAGACAACGGACCUAAAGCUGCAGAGUAUAUUCAGUGUUGUCGCAUCAUCACCACCGUGUGUGCACUUAUGGCCUAUUCGAUCAUGAAGGAUGGGAAGGCACCUUAAAACAUAGCUGCCAUUGAUAUACCACAUGAGGAACCUACUUAUUCUGCCAGUGACAAUCAUAAAAGGUUUAUGGAAGUCAAUAACUCGCUCACUCGACUCGCUCCGUAACUCGUUCUCUUCGUUUUCCAUUUUUUCAUCAUGCCGAAGGCUAAAGUUGAUUCCAAACCCGCUGAUAACAGGGUGCAGAAACGAGAAGGAAACAGAUGAACAAAGCCGCUAAGGAUCCUAACAAGCCGAAGAAGCCUCCAAGUGUUUUCUUCGUUUUCAUGUACGAUCACUCAAACCCUAGAAAUUAUAUUUGAACUGUCCUCUAAAAAAAUACAAAGAAUAUCACUCGUUAUUUUAGGGUUUCAUGAUUCUGAUACAGUCCUCUCUCAAGUAUGAAUUUCAUUUUUUUAAUUUUUUUUCUGAUUGAUUUGACUCAAUUUUGUCUUUGGUGAAGUGAACUCACACUGUCUCCAAAAUCUUGUUUGAUAAAAUGUUUUUUUUUUGUUGGUUUGCUACAUUUACAUGUUUAUCAUGAUUAUCCAGCAAUGUAUUAAAUCGGUGAAUCUUUGAUUAUUCAAGUCUAAGAAGGCUAGUUUGGACAGUAACAAAUUGUUUAGUGGCAAAAGUGAUUCUUAAGACAAGUAUUGAGAUGUUGUGUUUGGAUGACCUUAUGUGACGAUUGUUUUGCCAAAAAAAGGUGGUUUACAAUAUGAAUUCUUAUUUUAUGCUCUAAAUGCAAUUUGACUAUGAAUGUUUUAUUCAUAACUUUGAUAAGUAAUGAUUUUCACAUAACGGUAAAUUGUGGAGAUGGUUGUGUGCCUUGGUGCCUUUGAUACGAAAUUGAAUAUAUGUC